GAUGAACGCUGGCGGCGUGCCUAAUACAUGCAAGUCGAGCGAACGGACGAGAAGCUUGCUUCUCUGAUGUUAGCGGCGGACGGGUGAGUAACACGUGGAUAACCUACCUAUAAGACUGGGAUAACUUCGGGAAACCGUAGCUAAUACCGGAUAAUAUUUUGAACUGCAUGGUUCAAAAGUGAAAGACGGUCUUGCUGUCACUUAUAGAUGGAUCCGCGCUGCAUUAGCUAGUUGGUAAGGUAACGGCUUACCAAGGCAACGAUGCAUAGCCGACCUGAGAGGGUGAUCGGCCACACUGGAACUGAGACACGGUCCAGACUCCUACGGGAGGCAGCAGUAGGGAAUCUUCCGCAAAGGGCGAAAGCCUGACGGAGCAACGCCGCGUGAGUGAUGAAGGUCUUCGGAUCGUAAAACUCUGUUAUUAGGGAAGAACAUAUGUGUAAGUAACUGUGCACAUCUUGACGGUACCUAAUCAGAAAGCCACGGCUAACUACGUG
rnacentral:rRNA from 1 species